CCUACGGGUGGCUGCAGUGAGGAAUAUUGGUCAAUGGACGCAAGUCUGAACCAGCCAUGUAGCGUGAAGGAAGACUGCCCUAUGAGUUGUAAACUUCUUUUGUACGAGAGUAAACCCAGAUACGCGUGUCUGUCUGCAAGUACCGUACGAAUAAGGAUCGGCUAACUCCGUGCCAGCAGCCGCGGUAAUACGGAGGAUUCAAGCGUUAUCCGGAUUUAUUGGGUUUAAAGGGUGCGUAGGUGGUCGGAUAAGUUAGUGGUGAAAUCCUGAGGCUCAACCUCUGAAUUGCCUUUGAUACUGGUCGUCUAGAGAGUAGUUGCGGUAGGCGGAAUGUAUGGUGUAGCGGUGAAAUGCUUAGAGAUCAUACAGAACACCGAUUGCGAAGGCAGCUUACUAAGCUACUUCUGACGUUGAGGCACGAAAGUGUGGGGAGCAAACAGGAUUAGAUACCCCAGUAGUC
rnacentral:rRNA from 1 species